rnacentral:lncRNA from 1 species
ACUUUCCGUGAGCCUUAUCAUUGUUCUGUUUAUAGGCGUCAAACCUAGAAGAGACCUUAUAAUCAGGUCCUUUGCUCAGGGUACACCAGAUAAGCGUACCCCCGAAAACGUUGUCGUGGACACUGAAUGUGUAAUCGAUUCCACCCGGUUUCAGAUAGUGGACACCCAUAUCGUCGUUCCCUGAUUUACAAUGUACUUUGAGCCAUUUCUUGUAACUAAGGCCGUUCCUGAAAUAGAGUGUUGUCUUCUCCCCUUUCAAUAAAUUGCCACCAUAUACAUUGUCGAUCAUGCAAAGUGUAAAAACAAAUAGAAAGAUUGAAAUAUUUUUCAUUUUUUUGUUUCUUUCUUUCUUUCUAGAUGUUUUAGAUAUAUAUAUAUUUUUCGUAUUGUUAAAACUUGUGUAUUGUGUUUGUGUUUUAUGGUGUUAUAUAUACACGUAGGUAUUGCUAUUUUUGAGGUUUUUUAACAUUAUCUUCUUGCUCUAUAAUUGGAAUUUUCUAUUAAAAAUUUAGGUGUAUCAAGUCGUUUCAAAUCAAUAGAUUAAUGUCGAUGGCCGGCUAUCCAUCCUCUCUAUUUAGCUAUGUUCCUCUCUUAUUAGUCAAGUUUGUUUUACAGCCUCUCUCUCUUAUUAGUCAAGUUGCAAAUAUGGUAGAAACCAUAAAACUAGAUUGAAUUUACGUUCUAAGGCAGAAAUAAUAUUGAAAACAGAUAUAAAACACGCACGCAUUAACCUAUUUAAUUAUUAGCGUACAAUUUACACCGAAAAAAUAAUAAUAAUAAUGCAGAUCCGGUUUAUCUCGGUUCGGUUUGUAUUAAACCUGGUCUCGAUCUACAGUUGUGAUUCGACCCUAAUGGUUAGACAAUAAGCUUAACCAUAUAAAUACAAAGAUAGAAAAAAAGAAAGAAAGAAGGAAACAGCUGAUCAAAAAUCAUCGACUCCCUGUUUCAGCUCCGGUAAGUUUCUCAUCUUCCUUUCUUCUCCUGUUCUUCAGACUGAGUUCAUUAAUCUAAGAGCUUGGUCUUUGAUUUAAACCGGUCCAUAGAUUCAAUUUUGUCUAACCAACGAUUUAAACCGGUUUAUUCCUCUGUGUAUAAAAAAAGAAGAAACAAAUAUUCUUGAUCGUUUCUUAUGCCCUAAGACUUUAGUGAGCUCUCUUACUUGUUGAUUACGUUUGGAGAAGCGAUUGUUUCGAAAUUGAUUGAUAUUUGGUGUGAUCAUCAGAUUUUUGAAGAGGGAGGAUGGAGAUGCAUAACAUUGUGGACUCAUUGAACAAAGCUUACGAGAAGUUUGUCAUUGCCUCAGCUAAUGUUCUUGAGUCCAAAGAGAGUGCUGGCGGGGAAAAAAAGCUACUCUCACUGAUGCUGCAUUAGAAGAUUUCAAGGAGGAGUGGGAGCUCUUCCGCGUGGCUUGUGAUCAAGCUGAGGAGUUUGUGAAGCAGAGGAUUGGGUCUGAGUGUUUAGUUGAUGAGGCUACUGGUUUAACAACGAGAAACUCAGGAGGCCAAAGUGUUGGUGCUGCGACUAGUCUCUCUCCCAUUAGUGCAGUAAGGCUGGAACAGAUGAGUAGAGCGGUUAGAUGGCUUGUGUUUGAGCUGCAACGUGGGUCUGGUGUAGCUGCUGGUUCUUUGCAUUCUUCCUCUAACGGGUUUGAUCCUAGAUUACCCUGAAGACUCAGACUCAAUAGAAUGCUUCCCUAAUUAACAAAUACACAUAUCACUUUGUGAGCUAAAACUGCAGCUGUUUAACUCUUGAGUCUGUUAUGAGGGAGGCUUUGUACUUGGUUGAAGAGUUCGCCUAAUCAGUUUUAUACACUGACAAAGCAAGAAGCAACACUUGUUUGUUUGAUCUGUAGGACUUGUGAGUGUUAACCAAAUUUUUUGCAUUUAGUUCUGAAUCUCAAGUAGAGAUAGACUGGGUUUUGCUGUAAUUCAUCAAUCAUCAUAGACAUUUUUGUUUGUUAAUCUGCUUUUAUAUUUUGUAUUGAAUCAUGUUUAUCCCGAACCGGUUUCCAUAGCUAAAGUCUUGAUAAAAGCGAAAAAGAAUGUGAUUCACAAGAAAACGAAAAGUUAGGUUUGAGAUUGUUUAAGCGCAAAAAGAAAUGUGACAGAUUGGUAUUCUGCUUAGUAGACAGUAAAAAACCAAGAUAACAAAACUGAUGUAUGCACAAACGUAAAUUACUGUUUAUAUUCAAAUGAAUGAUAGAAGCUUUGACCAUGCAAUGAACUGAUAUUAUAGACAGGAACGCUUUGGUCUAGAAUAUAAAGUCCAUUCUCUAAUAGACCGCUACCAUAAAAGAUAUCAUUACGAUCAAAGGAACAACACUUGGUUUUGAUCGAAAACUGAAAUCUUUCCAAAUCCAAAGAAGGAAUGGAAAUAAUAUUCCUACUUAUAGCAGGUACAUAAUAGCAAUUCGUAAGUUCUAAAACCAAGUCUGAAGGUAAAGAUAAAUGAAAUGUUCCCACGGCUAAUGCAGAAAUUCUUGCUCCAUUUCCCACUCGUAGGUCCACUUGACCUUUCUCCAAAAUUCUACUAUUGCUUAGGCCAUUCAUAUUCGUACAAAUAUGAGCACCACAACCGGUAUCCAAUACCCAUGAAGUAGAACCAGAAGUAGUAACAUUUACUUCUAUAACAUAAAUACCUCUAGGCGAUGUUUCAAAAGUCUUUUUCUUUUUCAGAUCUUCCAAGUAGGUUUUAAACUCUUGUUUGAGAACAAUUCUCGGGUUUUGAUACCAUUGGAGGAAAUUUGAUCCAUUCAAUUUGUCCUUUUUAAGGGCAUGUUGGAAUGAAAAUGGGUCGUGAGGAGUUAACAUGCUGGAAUAGAAGAAUAUCGAAUAUUAAUAUGAUGUUCAUGAAUUAGAGAAAUCUCAACAAUAAAGAAAACUCAUAUUAUAUUCAAACAAUUUCCUCAAAUGAAUAUAAUAAUCCAAGAUCCAUAUUUCACUAAAAUUCGAGUGAGCUUUGGCUCACCGCCAGAAUGUUUAGCUAUUUAGGUAAGCAACACUUUGCUAAUUAUAUCAAAUAUAAUUUGUGGUUGUCAGAUGACAUCUUAUGUCUUAUCCAACCUAUGUCUCUAAGCCCAAAACCGUUUUGAUAGCCUAGUCACGUAAACCAAUCUUAUAUUCAUAUGGUAACCGUUACCAUCUACCUCACUUAUGUUGCAGACACCUUGCUUUGGCAAGCCCAUCUUACAAUGAAACAAGCCUUGAUAGUUGAUAAGAUUGGGUAGACAUCAAAAGUACUUGAAAUUAAUCGAGGAACAAAUUUUAAUUCAAUUUUAACUUAUAUUUAAAAUUUAUAUCUAAUAUAAAUAUAAAUAUAGCUAAUACAUAUCUUACAUGUAUUUUAAUUGAAUUAGAUAAUUAAAUUAAUUUUAUCUAAUUAAAAUAAUUAAUUAUUUCUAUAUUUGAUUUUAGAAUUUAAGCUAAUUAAAAUCUGAUCAAACGACCAACCCAAUUGGACCAAAUCAAUUGUAUCAAACAACCUAAACCAAUCGUUGGUUCAAUUGGUAUAGACACAUCUCAUAUGUGUUUUAGGUUUUAGAAACACACAUUCAAGUAUUACAAUAAUACGAUUGCCUCUUGAAAUUAUAUGUAUGCAACAUGCAACUUCUAUACAACAUGAACAAGAUCAUCACAUGACAACGCGUAAAUCUAGAUAUUUUUAAUCAGUUAAUUAUAAUAAUUGGAUUGAUCACAUCAAACAAAACUAUUAUGAAUUAACAAAUAACCAUGCGUCUUUCAAUUAAGAGUAGCACUAACGCUUAAUGGUUAUUUUAACAACAUAUUUCUCUUACGCACGAAUCAGAUUAAUUACGCUUCUGCGAAAUUGAUAACUACGCCAAUUUAAUUAUCGUUGAAACUAUAAGAUUAUUUAUCUAUACCAAAUUAUAGACUAAAUAAGAUCUGAUUUCAAUAUUCAGCAAGUAGGCUCUGAUACCACUAUUGGAAUUCAUACCGGUUUAUAACAAUUUAUAAAUCAACUUAUGACUUUAGUUUGCCUAGAUCUCAUGAAAAUACUGAAAUAAAUCUAGAUCUCAGGGUUCCAAAUAUAUAUGGUUAUUCACAGCGGAAAGAUAAUAAACCAAAUCGAAAUUUCUAAUACUCCAAACGUCGUGCCUCUACCAGUAUCCACACGCACACAAAUUGGAUCGAUACAGAAUGCUAGUGCCUUUGAGAUCAAAUCUCAAAUACUUGACAAACUCUUUUGUCUCUCUUAAGGUUUUAUUUAGUCGGCCAUUUUCUUAUCUGUCGAUCAAGUCACUUACGUGACCCUUUAUAAUCAUAUGACCAGAAGUUAAUGGGCCAAGCCCAAGUGAUAAUUAUCACUUCUUAACUCACGUUGCCCAUCACAUGCAUAUAAGUAUAUCACGUGAAUAUUAUAUAUAUCAUACAUAUAAUAUAAAUGUAUAAAACCCCAAAUAUUCAUGAUCCAAUUUGCGGUAUAUGACCCUGUAGGAUCAUAUAAUAUUAGUAAUGAAUUCCUAAUUCAUAGAUUAUAAUCGGUUUCUAGCAAAACAUUAUAACCACCUAAUAUUAUAUGAUUGUCGAAUCUUAACUCUACGAGUUUAACAAGAGUAAGUGCAAAUGAUUUUAGAACAUUCCCAACUAUAUCCACGCACAACAGACGGCACUAUCUCAAACAUAUAUUACAUGAUUCAUAUAAUUGUCAAAACAAACAGUUUCCUGGUCAGCUCACCUGAUACUCGAGUAGUGGCUUUAGUGCUUUACACAUUUCGGUUUGCAAGAUUCCUCGAGGUACUUCUUUUUUUCUUGCAUAAGAUUUGAAAAUGUAAUCAUGAAUGAGUUGUAUGUAAAAUUUGACAAAGCUAUAAACUUGAAAGAAGAAGAACAACGAUAGGUUGGUUCAUUGUGACCUUAUGGGUUGAAAUAGAAAGACCGAAUAAAAUUUAAAAGUGCACCUAAAGUCGUUUUCCCCUGCCCGGCCUCAAAGUAAAAAAAAUCAAACAUGGCAAGCAUUGCUAGCCUGGAGUGCUAAUGUUUUUUUUGCGAAGAAGGUUGUAAGAACAACAUAGACCAUCCAAGAGCAAAAUCUCUCAAAGACUUUAGAACGCUUCAAAUGCAUUACAAACGAAAGCACGAAUUGUGGAAGUGCAACUAAAAUGUUGGAAGCUGCGUGUGCCAAAAAGAGCUACAUAGAUUUGGAAGCCGAGAAGGAGAAUUGACAAUUAAUGUGGAAAACCAAACGAAACCAUGAUCGUAGGGAGCCGAGGACUUGGAUAAAUAUUUGGAACGUAGAUAUGAUAACCUUAAGUCUUUACUGAAAACUUGAUUUGACAACCAAGUUUGUCAGUGUUAUUACAGAGUUUUAUCAUAAAAAACAACCAGAAAAGAGAAAAGAAGGAGAUGGCAUUGCAAGACAAGUUAAUAACACGAGACAGCAUUUGGGAGAGAGAGAGAGAGAUUUCUAGUCCGUAGUCAUGAUCGCCUUCUGAUUUCCCUCAGAUAGAAUUGCUUUAUCUGUCUCAGCCAUAGCCAACCUAGCUGCUUUAGCUCUCUCAGCCUUAGCCAACCUAGCUGCUUUAGACAAUCUCCGAUAGGAAUUCUUCCCAUUGGAGUUCUUAAUAUAUGUAUUAUGUAUAUAUAUACACUACAAGAAAACAGCGGCAUACUGAGGGAAAAAAUUGUCGGUAUGUCGUCGGAAUAACGCUAUUCCGACGACAUACCGACGAAAAAAGUCCUCGGAAAUAACUCCUCGGAAAUUCAUCUUUCCUCGGAAAUCCCUCGGAAAUUUCCGACGGAAUUCCGAGGACUUUUUUUCGUCGGAAAUUCCUCGGAAUAUUCCGAGGAAUAUGUCGUCGGAAUAUUCCGAGGGAUACACUUCCUCGGAAUAUUUCCAAAAUUCAAAAAAAAAAAUUAUAAAUUUAUUUUUUUAAUUUGAAAUUCAAAAAUAUAAAAUUAAAAUUGAAAUAAAAAACAUAUUUAAAAUACAAAAAAUAAUAAAAUAGUUUUUAUAAAUAAAAAAAUGUUUUAUAAAUACAAAAUUAGUUUUAAUAAAUAUAAAUAUUUUUAUAAAUAUGAAAUCAUCUUUUUAUAAAUACAAAAUAGUUUUUAUAAAUACAAAAAAAAAAAAAUAGUGUUUAAAAAUAAAAAAAAUGUUUUAUAAAUACAAAAUUAGUUUUAAUAAAUAUAAAUAUUUUUAUAAAUAUGAAAUCAUCUUUUAUAAAUCCAAAAAUCGAAUUUAUAUACAAAAACGUUUUGUAAAAUCGAAUUUAUAUAAACGUUUUGUAAAUACAAAAAUAAUAAACAAUUUAUAAAAAAAGUUCUAAAUCAAUUCAACACAACCAAAUCACAAUUCUAAACCUAUUACACAACAAAUCACAAUCCUACCCAAUCACCCUAACAAAAAUCUAUCAAAAAACUUCUAAAAUCAUCAAAUCUACUUAAAAACCUAACAAAUAGGACCUAAGAGAGUGGGAUAAGGUCCUUACAUGAUUUGUAAAGGAAUGGAAAGGAUUCGCCGGAGAGAUCGUCGCGAGAGAAGGUGGAGAACGCCGGAAGGAGAGAGAGAUCGCCGGAGAGGAAGAAGAGAGAAAUGGGGAAGAAGAUGCGGUUCGAGUUUAUAAAACCUUGGGUCUGACGGAUAUUUUCCGUCGGAAUUCCCUCAGUAUUUUCAAUUUCAAUUUUCGCGAAAUAUUUGGCGGCUUGUUUGCCCGGUUAAAUGAAAAUAUUCCGAAGAAAUUCCGACGGCCACUUAAAUAUCCGUCGGAAUUUCCUCGGAAUAUUUUCAUUAAUUCGAGGAAAAAGAAUAUCCUGUGCAUGUAUUUCUAUUAAUUUAUAUUGUUCCUCGGAAUUUCCUCGGAAUAUUCCGAGGAAAUACCGAGGAACUAGUGUUUGGGGUUUCAAAACAUCAAUUUUUUUUGCCGUAUUUCAUUUCUUAUACAAUUGUAAUGCAUACCAUUGAAGAUUCUUUGUAUAGAUGAGCAUAAACCAUGAAAUAACAAAUUUCAAAACGAAUUGUAAGUAUUCCCUUUACCGUUCAUUAAAGUGUAUAAGUGUUUCUCUUAUGUUGUGGGGAUUUCGUUCAUACAAUCGGAAAAGUGUUUAUUAUAGGGUAAUGAACAAAUUUUUGACUUCAUAAUGAACGUAAGACACUUAAUAAGAGUUAUAUAGGUGUUAUUCAAACCGCAAAACGUUGUUUUCGGUUUAAAAACCCUAUUUCCUCGGAAUUUCCUCAGAAUAUUCUGAGGGAAUUCCGAGGAAACCCUUUUCUUCCUCAGAAUUCCGUCGAAAUAUUCCGAGAAAAUUCCGAGGAACUAGUGUUUGGGGUUUCAAAACGUCAAUUUUUUUUAAACGAAUCGAUCGAUGGAUAUAUAUCCAAAAACGCAUCGAUCGAUCACUAAGAUGGACCAAAGCGUAACAAUGUGAUCGAUCAAUAAGAUUAUCCCAUUGAUCGAUGGAGGAUAUCAAGUGUUCCUCGGAAUUUCCUCGGAAUAUUCCGAGGAAAUUCUGAGGAACUAGUGUUUGGGGUUUCAAAAUCUCGAAUGUUUUUUUAUAAACGGAUCGAUCGAUGUAUUUAUGUCCAAAAACGCAUCGAUCGAUCACUAAGAAGGACCAAAGCGUAUCAAUGUGAUCGAUCGAUUAGAUUAUAUUCUUCUUCAAAGAGCACAUAAUAGUUCACCAGACUUUUUAGACCAUCUCCAAUGGGGGUUCUUCCCAUUGGAGUUCUUAAUAUAUGUAUUAUGUAUAUAUUAUAUAUGUGUAAAUAAUUGUGGGGUCCACAAUUAUUGUGGAAAUCCAUAAAUAAGGGUUCUUAGGGAUUCUUAAAACCAUGUUUUAAGAACCCUUGCCUAUGGGGUUCCACAAAAAUUGUGGACCCCACAAUUACUUAUACAUAUAUAAUAUAUACAUACAUAUAUAUAUAUAUACAUAACACAUAUAUUAAGAACUCCAAGGGGAAGAAUCCCGUUAGAAAAUAUAUAUUGAAUAACACCAAAGUUUAAUUUAUAAAUUUUAAAUACAGUGAAAAAAAUAAGAACAAUUUUUACAAGUAUAUCCUUGAUAUAUUCACAAGCUAUAUCACUGGUUUUUACAAGUAUAACAAAUAAAUGGUGUUAAUAUAUAAGUACAUAUAUUGAAAACAUCUGAUAACACGGGAGACUUAGUUUGUGAUCUCUAUUUCCAGUCAAACUUCUUGUGAAGUUUAAAUUCCGUAUAUAUUAUAUAUGUGUAAAUAAUUGUGGGGUCCAUAAUUAUUGUGGAAAUUCAUAAAUAAGGGUUCUUAGGGAUUCUUAAAACCCUCUUUUAAGAGCACCAUUUUUGCAGGUUCCAAAGGGAGUUUUUAAAGAUUUUGGGUCCCACAAACAAAACGUUGUCGUGGAAACUGAAUGUGUAAUCGCUUGCACCAGGUUUCAGAUAGUGGACACCCAUAUCGUCGUUCCCUGAUUUACAAUGUACCUUGAGCCAUUUCUUGUAACUAAGGCCGUUCCUGAAAUAUAGAGUUGUCUUAUCCCCUUUCAAUAAAUUGGCACCAUAUGCAUUGUCGAUCAUGCAAAGUGUAAAAACAAAUAGAAAGAUUGAA